ACGGAGGGUGCAAGCGUUAUCCGGAAUCAUUGGGUUUAAAGGGUCCGUAGGCGGAUUGAUAAGUCAGAGGUGAAAUCCCACAGCUUAACUGUGGAACUGCCUUUGAUACUGUUAGUCUUGAGUUACUUGGAAGUAGAUAGAAUGUGUAGUGUAGCGGUGAAAUGCAUAGAUAUUACACAGAAUACCGAUUGCGAAGGCAGUCUACUACGAGUAUACUGACGCUGAUGGACGAAAGCGUGGGGAGCGAACAGG
rnacentral:rRNA from 1 species